UACGUAGGGGGCGAGCGUUGUCCGGAUUUAUUGGGCGUAAAGAGCGUGUAGGCGGUUCGGUAAGUCUGUCGUGAAAUCCUGAGGCUCAACCUCGGGCGUGCGAUGGAUACUGCCGGGCUAGAGGGUGGUAGAGGCGAGUGGAAUUCCCGGUGUAGCGGUGAAAUGCGCAGAUAUCGGGAGGAACACCAACGGCGAAGGCAGCACUCUGGGCUGGAACUGACGCUGAGGAGCGAAAGCGUGGGUAGCAAACAGG
rnacentral:rRNA from 1 species